rnacentral:rRNA from 1 species
CAGGCCUAACACAUGCAAGUCGAACGAGAGACUCUUCGGAGUAGUAAAGUGGCGAACGGGUGAGUAAUACAUGGGUAAUCUGCCUUUGAGCGGGGGAUAACCAGCCGAAAGGCUGGCUAAUACCCCAUACGCUUCCGGUCCCUCGGGUAAGGAAGGAAAGCUGCAUCGUGGAUGUGGCACUCGAAGAUGGGCUCAUGGCCUAUCAGCUUGUUGGUGGGGUAACGGCCUACCAAGGCAACGACGGGUAGCUGGUCUGAGAGGACGAUCAGCCACACUGGCACUGAGAUACGGGCCAGACUCCUACGGGAGGCAGCAGUGAGGAAUAUUGCGCAAUGGGCGAAAGCCUGACGCAGCGACGCCGCGUGGGGGAAGAAGGUUUUCGGAUUGUAAACCCCUUUUAGGAGGAAAGAUGGGGUGGGUUUCCACCCGGACGGUACCUCCAGAAAAAGCCACGGCUAACUUCGUGCCAGCAGCCGCGGUAAUACGAAGGUGGCGAGCGUUGUUCGGAUUUACUGGGCGUAAAGAGCACGUAGGCGGUUUAGUAAGCCCCUUGGGAAAGCUAUGGGCUUAACCCAUAAAGGUCGAGGGGGACUGCUAAGCUAGAGGGCGGGAGAGGAGCGCGGAAUUUCCGGUGUAGCGGUGAAAUGCGUAGAUAUCGGGAAGAAGGCCGGUGGCGAAGGCGGCGCUCUGGAACGUCUCUGACGCUGAGGUGCGAAAGCGUGGGGAGCA